rnacentral:rRNA from 1 species
AGAGUUUGAUUAUGGCUCAGGAUUAACGCUGGCGGCGUGCUUAACACAUGCAAGUCGAACGAGGUAGCAAUACCUAGUGGCAGACGGGUGAGUAACACGUGGUCAACCUACCCUCAAGUGGGGGAUAACUAGCCGAAAGGUUAGCUAAUACCGCAUGAAACGUGCCGGGGCAUCCCGGAACGUUGAAAGGAGCAAUCCGCUCGAGGACGGGACCGCGUCCGAUUAGCUAGUUGGUGGGGUAACGGCCCACCAAGGCUCCGAUCGGUAGCUGGUUUGAGAGAGCGACCAGCCACACUGGGACUGAGAAACGGCCCAGACUCCUACGGGAGGCAGCAGUGAGGAAUUUUCCGCAAUGGGCGAAAGCCUGACGGAGCGACGCCGCGUGUGGGAAGAAGGCCUUCGGGUCGUAAACCACUGUCGAAGGGGAAUAUACUGAAGGUACCCUUGGAGGAAGCCCCGGCUAACUACGUGCCAGCAGCCGCGGUAAGACGUAGGGGGCGAGCGUUAUUCGGAAUUAUUGGGCGUAAAGCGCUCGUAGGCGGGAAGGCAAGUCCGUGUUGAAAGACCUCGGCUCAACUGAGGGACCGGCUCGGAUACUGCUUUUCUUGAGGCAAUCAGAGGGUGAUGGAAUUCCCGGUGUAGCGGUGAAAUGCGU